rnacentral:tRNA from 1 species
GGGAAUAUAGUAUAAAGGUAGUACAAUAAUCCAGCAUAUUAUGAGUCUCUGUUCAACUCAGAGUAUUUCCA